GGAGAUAGAAUAUUUAUUACUAGAGCUAUAGAAAUAUUACUGCAAGGGAAAGAUGAAAGAUAUAAUUAAAGUAUAACAAAGCAAAGAUAAAACCUUCUACCUUUUGCAUAAUGGACUAACUAUAAUAAAUUUGACAAGAAUCACCCUUAUACCUUUU